rnacentral:rRNA from 1 species
AGAGUUUGAUUAUGGCUCAGGAUGAACGCUGGCGGCGUGCUUAACACAUGCAAGUCGAACGAAGCUCUCUGAAGUGAGAUUUCGGUCAAGCUAAGGAGAAGACUUAGUGGCGGACGGGUGAGUAACGCGUGGGUAACCUGCCGUAUGCAGGGGGACAACAGUUGGAAACGACUGCUAAUACCGCAUAAGCGCACGGUUCUGCAUGGAACAGUGUGAAAAGAUUUAUCGGCAUACGAUGGACCCGCGUCUGAUUAGCUAGUUGGUGAGGUAACGGCCCACCAAGGCAACGAUCAGUAGCCGGCCUGAGAGGGUGAACGGCCACAUUGGGACUGAGACACGGCCCAAACUCCUACGGGAGGCAGCAGUGGGGAAUAUUGCACAAUGGGGGAAACCCUGAUGCAGCGACGCCGCGUGAGUGAAGAAGUAUUUCGGUAUGUAAAGCUCUAUCAGCAGGGAAGAAAAUGACGGUACCUGACUAAGAAGCCCCGGCUAACUACGUGCCAGCCGCCGC